rnacentral:rRNA from 1 species
GUCGGGAAUUUUGGGCAAUGGGCGAAAGCCUGACCCAGCAACGCCGCGUGAAGGAUGAAGUCUCUCGGGAUGUAAACUUCGUAAGAAUAGGAAGAAUAAAUGACGGUACUAUUUGUAAGGUCCGGCUAACUACGUGCCAGCAGCCGCGGUAAUACGUAGGGACCAAGCGUUGUUCGGAUUUACUGGGCGUAAAGGGCGCGUAGGCGGCGUGGUAAGUCACUUGUGAAAUCUCCGAGCUUAACUCGGAACGGUCAAGUGAUACUGCUGUGCUAGAGUACAGAAGGGGCAAUCGGAAUUCUUGGUGUAGCGGUGAAAUGCGUAGAUAUCAAGAGGAACACCUGAGGUGAAGACGGGUUGCUGGGCUGAUACUGACGCUGAGGCGCGAAAGCUAGGGUAGCAAACGGGAUUAGAUACCCUUGUAGUCC